CACUUCAUACAUGCCUCACACUUCCCUUCCUCUUUAUAUCAAUACAUACCUCACACUUCCUCUUUCUAUCAAUACAUACCUCACACUUCCUCUUUCUAUCAAUACAUACAUCACACUUCCUCUUUCUAUCAAUACAUACCUCACACUUCCUCUUUCUAUCAAUACAUACAUUACACUUCCUCUUUCUAUCAAUACAUUCCUCACACUUCGUCUUUCUAUCAAUACAUACCUCACACUUCCCUUCCUCUUUCUGCCAAUACAUACCUCACACUUCCCUUCCUCUUUCUGCCAAUACAUACCUCACACUUCCCUUCCUCUUUCUGCCAAUACAUACCUCACACUUUUCUUCCUCUUUCUAUCAAUACAUACCUCACACUUCCUCUUUCUAUCAAUACAUACCUCACACCUCCUCUUUCUAUCAAUACAUACCUCACACUUCCUCUUUCUAUCAAUACAUACCUCACACCUCCUCUUUAUAUCAAUACAUACCUCACACUUCCUCUUUCUAUCAAUACAUACAUCACACUUCCUCGUUCUAUCAAUACAUACCUCACACUUCCCUUCCUCUUUCUGUCAAUACAUACCUCACACUUCCCUUCCUCUUUCUGCCAAUACAUACCUAACACUUUCCUUCCUCUUUCUGCAAAUACAUACCUCACACUUCCCUUCCUCUUUCUAUCAAUACAUACCUCACACUUCCUCUUUCUAUCAAUACAUACCUCACACCUCUUUCUAUCAAUAUAUACCUCACACUUCCUCUUUCUAUCAAUACAUACAUCACACUUCCUCUUUCUAUUAAUACAUACCUCACACUUCCUCUUUCUAUCAAUACAUACCUCACACCUCCUCUUUCUAUCAAUACAUACCUCACACUUCCCUUCCUCUUACUAUCAAUACAUACCUCACACUUCCUUUCCUCUUUCUACCAAUACCUACCUCACACUUUUCUUCCUCUUUCUGCCAAUUACAUGCCUCACACUUCCCUUCCUCUCUCUAUCAAUACAUACCUCACACUUCCCUUCCUCUUUCUAUCAAUACAUACCUCACACUUCCUUUCUAUCAAUACAUACCUCACACCUCUUUCUAUCAAUAUAUACCUCACACUUCCUCUUUCUAUCAAUACAUACAUCACACUUCCUCUUUCUAUCAAUACAUACCUCACACUUCCCUUCCUCUUUCUAUCAAUACAUACCUCACACUUCCUCUUUCUAUCAAUACAUACCUCACACCUCCUCUUUCUAUCAAUUACAUACCUCACACUUCCCUUCCUCUUACUAUCAAUACAUACCUCACACUUCCCUUCCUCUUUCUACCAAUACCUACCUCACACUUUUCUUCCUCUUUCUGCCAAUUACAUGCCUCACACUUCCCUUCCUCUCUCUAUCAAUACAUACCUCACACUUCCUCUCUCUAUCAAUACAUACCGCACACCUCCUCUUUCUACCAAUACCUACCUCACACUUCCCUUCCUCUCUCUAUCAAUACAUACCGCACACCUCCUCUUUCUACCAAUACCUACCUCACACUUCCCUUCCUCUUACUAUCAAUACAUACCGGGGGGGGACUGAAAACAGAGAGAGGGAGGGAGAGAGUUAG
ensembl:lncRNA